rnacentral:rRNA from 1 species
GUUGUAAACUGCUUUUGUACGGAACGAAAAGCCUCUUUCUAAUAAAGAGGGGUCAUGACGGUACCGUAAGAAUAAGCACCGGCUAACUACGUGCCAGCAGCCGCGGUAAUACGUAGGGUGCAAGCGUUAAUCGGAAUUACUGGGCGUAAAGCGUGCGCAGGCGGUUUUGUAAGACAGAGGUGAAAUCCCCGGGCUCAACCUGGGAACUGCCUUCGUGACUGCAAGGCUGGAGUGGGGGAGGGGGGGGGAAAAUUCCGUGUGUAGCAGAAAAAUGUGUAGAUAGGGGGGGGCACCCGGGGGGAGAGGGCCAUCCCGGGGCCCUACAGAGACGCUCGCGCAAAAAAGCGGGGAGAGCAAACAAGAUUAGAUCCCGGUAGACUCCACCCCAAAAAAGAUGUCA